rnacentral:rRNA from 1 species
CAUUUUUUUUUCAGGAAAAAGUAAGGUUUAUUAAUUCGUAGCUUAUAACCGCAACAGGUAGAUUAAUAAAAAAUAUUAAAACGUAAAGAAUAAUAAAAGAUAAGGAACUCGGCAAAUAAUCUCCGUAACUUUGGAAAAAGGAGAUCUGAUUUAAUAGAUACUAUUAAUCAUUAAUGAUAAUUCAAUGAGCGACUUUUUAAUAAAAAAUUAAAAUAACGCAAAUUUUAUAAAAAAAGUAUGUUAUUUGAUUGGUUCUCAAUGCUUUAAACUGAAAAAAGAGGUCAGACGCUUUUUAAUAAGGAAAAGCAAAUAGAUGUCUUAUUUUGAGGAUAAUAAUGUAGCGAAAUUCCUUGACUUUUAAUUGAAGUCCUGCAUGAAGCCAUUAACGACUCAUUGACUCUCUUGUCUUUUAUUCUUGUGAAUUUGAAAUGAAGGUGAAGAUUCCUUCUUCUUAAAGUAAGACGAAAAGACCCUAUCAAUCUUUACUCAACGCUGGCGUUGCUUUUUUAAAUUUAUUCGUUUAGUAGUAGAUAGCUGUUUUUGCUUGUAACUUUUUGAAAAACUAUCCUAUAUUUUAUUAAAGCUAUUUUAUUAUUAUUUAAAACAGCGCUUGCGGGUGAGUUUAUCUGGGAUAGAUCCCUUUUAAAAAGUAAUAAAGGAAUACAAAGAUAACCUUAAUUAAGAUAUCUUAAUUUUGAGCGAAAAAGUAAAUGUUUGUUUGACUGUAAGGCAUAAAAUUGUUUGAACAGCUAUGUUAAAUAGGUUUUAUUGAUCCGAUAGUGUUGAACGAAAAAGCUAUCGCUUAAUAGAUAAAAGAUACUGUAGGGAUAACAAGAUAAUAAAAACCAAGCGAUCAAAGCGACGUUUUUGAUUGUUAUAUCGAUGUCGGUUUAAAGCAUCCCGAUGGUGAAGAAGCUAUCAAGGGUUUAGCUGUUCGCUAACUAAGGCUUUCCAUGAACUGGGUUUAAAACGAUGCGAAUCAGUUUAGUUUCUAUCUGCUUGAUUAUUUAAGGUUUAAAGUUUUUUUCGCUAGUAUGAGAAGAUCGAUGAAAAGAAAGCCAAUAGUUAAAAACCUUUUUUUGGUUGUAUUGCCAUGCUUUUAUUGUUUAAAAAUUGAAAGCAUUAACUUUUGAAACAUUGCUUAAAUAACCUUAAAAUAGGUUUAAAACGAAAACUUUGAUCGGUCAA